GAUCAUGGCUCAGGACGAACGCUGGCGGCGUGCUUAACACAUGCAAGUCGAACGAGAAUCUACUGAAAGAGUUUUCGGACAAUGGAAGUAGAGGAAAGUGGCGGACGGGUGAGUAACGCGUGAGGAACCUGCCUUGAAGAGGGGGACAACAGUUGGAAACGACUGCUAAUACCGCAUGAUGCAUAGGGAUCGCAUGAUUUUUAUGCCAAAGAUUUAUCGCUUCAAGAUGG
rnacentral:rRNA from 1 species